UCUAUUGGUGGACAUUUCUAAAUUAGCUUAAGGCAAUGCAUGUUAUGUCCACUAGAGAAACCAUAUUCUGAGACACCCGCCUUUGCUUGGAGCUGUUUUAUGGUUACCGCUGAUAUGGACAGGAGUUACAUUAUUCUCUGCUCUUAAAAGUCUUUCGUUCUGAAUCUCGGGACGAGAUUCUUUUAAGGGGGGAGGGUUGUAACACCCCAGGUGUUUAUCGUCUGCUCGACCACGAGUGCGGACCUUAACACGUGAUAGCGAUGAAUAAAAUGGACACUAAAUUUUAAUUAUCUCGCAAGGGUUCGAGUUUGGUGCCAUUUUCAUUUCGAUAAUCUAUGUAAUUAAAAGGGGUUCACAGGUUUUGUCGUUAUUUAACAAUUAAGCAGACCGAGGUAAUUAGAACCGAACCGAGUAAAAUGCUUAAUUCAGUUUUGAAUCAGAUUUGAAGUAUGCUGAAAAUAAUAUCAACUAGCUGUUUUUGGGUCCUCAUAACUUUUGAUCUAUAAACAGUUUGAAGGUGGACAUUAUAACAAGGUUGUAGAGCUAUACUAGGGAUACAAAUUUGCUUAGGCAACCUGCCCCUAAAACCAUGUGCAACUGGGUGUAAAUCUGGUCCAAAGAGAGGCUGACAGGUUUGGAUUUCAGACUUGGUGUAAUUGUCCAAGUCAGAAUUUCAGUGUGUUUGGCUCAACUUUGGAGCUUUGUGGUGCCUGAUCCAUGUGGUUUUGGGCUAAGAUUGAUGUAUCAAGUUUGAAGACCACAUGUUGGUGUGUAACUUUGGUUAAAGGUCAUAUCCCUAAAGCUACUUGGAACUUGGAGAAAAGGUGGUCCAAAGUGGAGCUGUCAGACUUGUGAUUUCUGGACUUCGAUUCAGAAAUUGAUGUGCAGUUUCAGCAUUUUUAGCAAACUUCAGAUCUCUGUUGUGAUAAACUUUUGAUGUUAUGGCAUGCACUCUCCACAGAGAAGUCUUAGAGGGUAGUGUGGUGAGUAACUUCUAUUAAGUUUCAUCUCCUUGAGCUUGUUUAGAAAGGGGAGAAAAUGCUGCUCCAAGUCGCUAUGUCAGACAUUGGUGUGCUGAACCAAAUUCAGCUAGGCUGAAUUGUUGAGUUCGCUGGUGCUGCCCCAACUUUGGUGCUCGAUAACUUGAGGUCAGUUGAGCUUUUGAUAGUAACCAUUAAAACAAAGUUGAAGACUGUGUAUCAGUGAGCAAUCUUGGUAUAGGUCCGUUGUAGGUUGAUGCACUGGUGUUGGAGUAAAUUGUGUUCAAACUCUCUCUGUCAGGUGCGAGUUCAGCUUUUGGUUCAGUUAGCUGAAUCUGAAUUUCAGUAUUUUCAUCCCACUUUGAAGCACCAUAACUUUUGAUCCAUGAAUCUUUGACCUAAGGCUGCUGCAGCAAACAUUUAAAUCUAUGUGUUGGGAACAAUCUUUGUUAACUAAGAUUGGCAUGUAUUGCUUGCACUAGUGAGGAUCAAAGGGGUUUAAAGAUGGGGGUUCAUUUGGCGCCAGGUGCAGUUUUGGAAUCUGAAACGUGAUUCAGCUUUUCUGAAUUUUUAGAAGACACAUAUUCCUCUCAGUUUUGGACCCUUCUAAUUAUUAAUUCCUGAACUUUGGUGGAUGAUCAUUACACCAAAUAUAAAGAGUUAUUAUCGGAGAACCAUUCUUAUUAAGCAUUGAUUUCCUGUCAUUACUUAGAACUGGAAGAAAAUCGUCCUUCAAUUCCCUCUGUUUUGCAAGUUGGAAACUGAAACUUGUGUCAGUUUUGGGGGCCAGGGUUCAACAUGCUCGCCUAUGUCUCAGCCAUCCUCAUCCCUUUUAUUUUCUAGAGCAUGUCUAUCUCCAUGGAAUAUCCCCACCGCCUACUCUUCUUCUUAUCCCAAGAGCUACCGUAUUCUUUUUCUCUCAUACGGAUAGAGAUAGCUGGAAGGAGAAUUUCCUCACGUAUCUCUCCCUCUGUGCUGUGCAACCGGCCACGUACUGAAGCUCUUCCUCACGCCACCUCUGCAUCUCAUUCACGUCAUUUAUUUCCCACGUAUUCAGCUCCUGGAAACUUCCUUCACAAGAUGCGUUGAACACCCUGGGAAUCACCCACGCCACCCAUCUCACCACUGCACCACUGCGCGCUUCGUACUGCUGGCCGGGCUGCUCCAGCACCAGGAACGCUCGCUCCUGCUCGUCGACGUUAGAUUUUCCCAGACGCGCGAGCUCCCCAGCAACUCCAACACGUUGCUCGCCUCGCUCAGUCUUCAAGCCAUCGUGCCGCUGGUUCUAGCCAAAGUCGGGCGCGUUCUUUCCUUCGCCAGGCAGCACCUCCAGUCGUCGUUUCUUUUCCACGGCUGCACGCUCACCGACUCAAGCGCUUGGCCAUGGAGCUCGGUUUCGUGUGUGCCUGUGCUGGGUCGCCGGGUCACAUGCUCGUCCGUUUUGAUGUUGUGCACGUUCCGGCUUGUGGAACUCGCCGGCGUUGUCAGCUACUACUAGACCUCACAGUGGUACUGUGAUGCCGCCGUGGAGGCGUCUAUUGUGCCAUCUAUUCUCUGUUGUCUCGCUACACCUGAUUGUCAUCCUCGUCCUUGUCUCGAUCUCGCUACGGCAGCAUCGGCGCUCUCGAUAUCGUCCUGAGUUCACUCCGCGUGCUGCGACGUCUCGCUCACCUCAUCGCCAAGUUGUCGUCGCCCUCGCGGUUAUCAGGUCGAUUCGAUCAGGGUAAGCUGAUCUAUUAUUCCCGCUAGUUAAAUCUAGUAAAACUAGAAAAAUCGUGAUUGUUGUGUUUAGUGAGUUAUAGAUGUCUAGUGCUUUCGUAGGAUUGUGUCGAUGUCUUGCCGCUAAAUAUUUGAUUCUCUUUUUUGUAUCAUCCGGAUACUUUAUGCUCAUACAUGUGCAUUGUGCAUCUCAUGAGGUACGAUAAUUAAUCAAGUAAGACGAAGGAAAAGAGUCAAGUCGAUACCAAGCGCGGGCUAAUCCGCAGGAUGAUGCUGAUGAACGAACCGGAAGAUGGAUAAUCUGAACGAGUGCCAAGCCAAUGGGUGCUCGUCAAGUGGUCGCCUAACAAACACUAACCUAGUGUUACCCAGGCAAGCCCCGGUGCAUGCAACCCCUUCCUUGUAUUUUUAAAUUAUUUUUACACACUUUAAGUCUAGUGAAUGUGCAUUAAGUUUAUAGGAGUUGCUUGAAAACCCUUUGAUGCAUUGGCUACCUUGAUAUCCAUCCCUUUUAUAGAUACUUCUGGUGAAGUAUCAAAAUAUGAUUUACAAAAAAAUGCUUAGCCCUGCUUAUAGGCAGAUAGAGUUUGUCCUUUGCACUUAUGCCUAGCUCAGGAUGAUCCUGAGGAAGGAUGACUUCUACCUGCACGGAUAUUUUCAUUGGGAGCAUGGUGGGAUCUUACUGCAAGGUUCCCUAUAAUGCUCUUUUCAUCCUUAGGAACACAAAACAAUCCUAAGGGUGGAAAUACUUAAAUCGGGACUUGGGCUAGGAACAGGUGAUGUUCCGUCCGGGUCAAUUAAGGAUUGGAUGCGUAUGUAGGCCUGUAUGAUCAAGGACUAUCUUAACUGGCCACAUGCCCUGGAAAUGGGACAGGGUAAGCUUGAACCCGGCUAUUCCAUACGUGAAAAGACAACCGCGCACUGGGCGUGGGAGAUGGUGGGAGUAGCGUGUACCCUCCUGGCUAGAGGCUGGAUGGAGGAGUACUGUGCUCCCGGGUAGCGCGAACCGGUUCACGUUGUGGAGGAUCUGUGGGAACGGUUGACAUAUGCAAGGGUUAAGUGCUACAUAUGUCGUGUGGUUAGAGAUCCUCAGCUGAGUAAAUCGAUUCGGAUCGCCGUUAUAUCCCCGGAGAGUGGAGACUUGAUCGCUGCCCUGCAACCUAAGUCAGGAUGUGAACCUCAUGAAUAAAAAUGAUGUUGUAUUGAUGAGAUGGUGAAAUUAGACCAGAUGCAAACAGAGUCUAUUAAUAUUUAAUCUGGCGUUAAAAUAUUGAAAGUAAGGACUCACUUUAGUAAGCUAAUUCUGCAAAAGUAUCUAAGUUGAUUUUUGCUAAAGCCUCUCCUUGAUUCCCAAAUCCAGCAUAUCCUUGAGAGUCUUUUCUUUAGUCGGGUAAGUCUUGCUGAGUAAUUCCAUACUCAGGGUUUUAUUCCCUGUUUUUUUUUCAGGUUAUAGUUUUGUGCUGCUGUUGAUGGUGUUAAGUGUCGGUGGGCUCGGCCUUCUUAUAUAAGUAUACCCCAUCUUUAUCUUAUUGAGGAUGGUCACUUGAGCUAGCAUAUAUUUCAAACUUAUAAACAAUUUAUAACAAUUCAAACUUAUUUCUUUGAAUCACUUUUGUAACCACUCCGAUCAUGUACAUUGUAAAACUUGAUGUAACAUGUAAAAUUUGGUAAUAAGAUUUCCGCUGUAAAAUUUUUGGUGUGUGAUUUGUGUUUACUUAAUCCCGGUUCUGGUUGUAAGUGGUUUAUCUGAGGUCCUUGGGACACUCGGACGGAUCCUGUUAAGUUAUUUGGUGCACAAGCAUAGCCGUCUGAGGUCUUUGAGACAAGGACAGGUGCAUGUGGGCCCGAUAACUUGGGAGGUUCUGCCACAUCGGGGGUCUUGAACUCUCCAAGCAUCAUCCUCGCCAUGUCAAUGAGUGUCCUGUUCUUCCUUUCUACCACACCAUUUUGCUGUGGUGUGUAGGGAGCGGAGAACUCGUGCUUGAUUCCUUCCUCCUCAAGGUACUCCUCCACUUGAAGGUUCUUGAACUCGGACCCGUUGUCGCUCCUUAUCUUCUUCACCUUGAGCUCAAACUCAUUUUGAGCUCUCCUUAGGAAGCGCUUGAGGGUCCCUUGGGUUUCUGUUUUAUCCUGCAAAAAGAAUACCCAAGUGAAGCGGGAAAAAUCAUCAACUAUAACAAGACCAUACUUACUUCCUCCUAUGCUUAGGUAGGCGACGGGUCCGAAGAGGUCCAUAUGAAGUAACUCCAGAGGAAUUGAUGUGGUAAUUACAUUCUUGCUGUGAUGAGCACUUCCCACCUGUUUACCUACUUGACAAGCUACACAAGGUCUAUCUUUUUUGAAAGUCACAUUUGUUGGUCCUAACACAUGUUCUCCCUUUAGAAGUUUGUGAAGGUUCUUCAUCCCCACAUGUGCUAGACGGCGAUGCCACAGCCAGCCCAUGCUAGUCUUAGCAAUUAAACAUGCAUCUAGACCGGCCUCCUCCUUUGCAAAAUCAACUAAAUAGAGUUUGCCGUCUAGUACACCCUUAAAAGCUAAUGAACCAUCACUCCGUCUAAAGACAGACACAUCUACAUUUGUAAAUAAGCAAUUAUACCCCAUAUUACAAAAUUGACUAACGGACAACAAGUUAUAUCCGAGCGAUUCUACUAAAAACACAUUAGAAAUGGAAUGCUCGGACGAAAUUGCUAUUUUUCCUAGUCCUUUAACCUUGCCUUGGUUCCCAUCACCGAAUAUGAUUGAAUCUUGGGAAUCCUUGUUCUUGACGUAGGAGGUGAACAUCUUCUUCUCCCCCGUCAUGUGGUUUGUGCAUCCGCUGUCGAUAAUCCAGCUUGAGCCCCCGGAUGCAUAAACCUUCAAGGCAAAUUUAGGCUUGGGUCUUAGGUACCCAACUCUUGUUGGGUCCUACAAGGUUAGUGACAAUAGCCUUAGGAACCCAAAUGCAAGUUUUAUCUCCCUUGCAUUUUGCCCCUAAUUUCCUAGCAAUUACUUUCUUAUCCUUUCUACAAAUUGCAAAGGAAGCAUUGCAAGCAUGAUAAAUUGUAGAAGGUUCAUUACUUGCUUUCCUAGGUAUAUGAACAACAUUUCUCCUAGGCAUAUGAUGAAUAACAUUUUUCCUAGGCAUAUCAUGCACAAUAGAAGAACUAGAAGCAUGCAUAGCAUAUGAAUCAUAAGAGUAAUUCCUAUAAGCAUUUCUAGAGAAUUUUCUAUCACUAUAAAUGAAAGCAUGAUUCUUUUGAACACUAUUAGCCAUAGGGGCCUUCCCUUUCUCCUUGGCGGAGAUGGGAGCCUUAUGACUUGUUAAGUUCUUGACUUCCCUCUUAAAGCCAAGCCCAUCCUUAAUUGAGGGGUGUCUACCAACAGUGUAGGCAUCCCUUGCAAAUUUUAGUUUAUCAAAUUCAUUUUUGCUAGUCUUAAGUUGGGCAUUAAGACUAGCCACUUCACCAUUUAGUUUUGCAAUAGAAGUAAGGUGCUCAACACAUGCAUCAACAUUAAAGUCCUUACACCUAUUGCAUAUCACUACAUGUUCUACACAAGAAUUAGAUCUAUAUUUGCUACUUCUAGCUUAGCAUUUAAAUCAUCAUUAACACUUUUUAAACUAGAAAUAGUCUCAUGGCAAGUAGAUAAUUCACAAGAAAGCAUUUCAUUCCUUUUAACUUCUAAAGCAAGAGAUUUUUGGACAUCUACAAAAUUAUCAUGCUCUUCAUACAAAAGAUCCUCUUGCUUUUCUAACAAUCUAUUCUUGUCAUUCAAAGCAUCAAUUAAUUCAUUGAUUUUAUCAAUUUUAGUUCUAUCUAAACCUUUGAAUAAACUUGCAUAGUCUAUUUCAUCAUCGCUAGAUUCAUCAUCACUUGAAGAAGCAUAUGUAGUAUUAUUCCUAGUGCAUACCUUCUUUUCCUUUGCCAUGAGGCAGGUGUGAUGCUCAUUGGGGAAGAGGGAUGAUUUGUUGAAGGCAGAGGCAGCAAGUCCUUCGUCGUCGGAUGAAGAGCAAUCCGAGUCCCACUCUUUGCCAAGGUGUGCCUCGCCCUUCGCUUUCUUUAACUUUUUGAGUACCAAUGAUGUAAAGGGACACAAGCUCUAGCAAUGUUUCUGCUUCUCAUGUAGGCCGUGUAAGACGUCGCAAACAUCCAACUGAGGCUACCAUAGAUGGGAAUAGAGUUAAUGGACAACCAUUGCUUGUCAGUGAUCAGGACAAAUAUAAAUCAGUGCUUACCCAUACGUAUUCUACAGUAUGGAUGAUUGGAGGCUUUGCCUUUAUUAUUUAUAUGGGUCAUCUAUAUAUCUGGGCUAUGGUGGUUGUGAUUCAAAUAUACAUGGCAAGAGAACUUUUCAACUUACUCAGAAAAUCCAGUGAAGAGAAACAACUGCCAGGGUUCAGGGUCCUGAAUUGAUCUAGAUGCCAACCAUUAGGCAUGAUUCGAUUCUAGAAGAUCCUGAUGGUGACACCUCACAACCACAACACAUCUCGGACUACUACCAUGUCAGUCUCAAGAAUGUGAUGAUAACAUGACCAUUCAAAUUGGUGAAGUACUUCAGAUGCAAAUUGAGGUUCAAAGAUAGUUAAAUGAACUACUUGAGAAAUGGUCAUUUGUUAAAUCUGAGCAGAAAAGAUCGGAAAUCCAAGGGCUUAUGGAAUUGGUAUUGCAAAGAUCUUCAUGUGAUUCGGAUCCUUAUAAGGAAAGAUAAUUUAUAUACAUGAGGGAGCCACCUAUUGAUUCUUUUGAUGUCUCUACAUGUGGCCUUGAUUUGCUGGAUGACAUCUUGUUGGGUUAUAAAGCUGAAUGGCCAAUGAAUAUUGGCAUUACAGUAGACGCAUUGAAAAUACAUGCUAAAAUAUUAUGAAUGUUCUUUACUGCAGUUGCUGCGGAGGAAGCCGACAGCGCAGCUAUGGUCGUUGAGAAGAAGGUUGUCGCGUCUGUGUAGCUUGUCGCCGUUGCUGCGCACAAGGCGGGCUGCGCCAUGGAUGCUAUCUGUUUGUAUUACUUUUGGUUGGUUGCAUUAAGUGUUGUACUGUGUGUUUGGUAAUGCAGUUACUUUUGUAUUCAGUGAACUGUUUGGUAAUGCGGUUCCUUCUGUAUUUAGUGAAUUGUGUGGUACUGCGUACACACUGUAGUUCCUUUUGUAUUAAGUGUAGUAGUGAUGAGGUAAUGCAUUGCACUUGUACUACUGAGCUAAAUCUAUGUACUUGUGCCUGUUGUGGCUAAAAAGCAUAUGUUUAAGAAAAUACUGCUUUCUGUGAA